rnacentral:rRNA from 1 species
UACGGGGGGGGCAAGCGUUGUUCGGAAUUACUGGGCGUAAAGGGCUCGUAGGCGGCCAACUAAGUCAGACGUGAAAUCCCUCGGCUUAACCGGGGAACUGCGUCUGAUACUGGAUGGCUUGAGUUUGGGAGAGGGAUGCGGAAUUCCAGGUGUAGCGGUGAAAUGCGUAGAUAUCAGGAGGAACACCGGUGGCGAAGGCGGCUCUCUGGACCACAACUGACGCUGAGGCGCGAAAGCUAGGGGAGCAAACAGG